rnacentral:misc_RNA from 1 species
GGAAAACGACGGCGUUUGUGGAAUUGGGUUUGUACCAGAGGUUAAUGUAAGAGAGACGGUUAGAGAAAGAGGAAGAAGAAGCGGCAAUUGAGAAGAAGAGGUGUGAGAUUGAAAGAUUAGUGGAAGUUGAAAGGGUUUUGGAGAAAUUGGGAUUUGGAUUGAAGGAAGUUUUGGGGGUCUGGAUGUGAUGAAGAAGGAAGAUGAGGUAGAAGAUAACAAGUGUGGAGAAGAUUAAGAGAAGAUCUUUGAGACGAUUUUGUGUAUGAAUGAAUCUUGGAACCAUAGGCAUUUCUACUGUGUUGGAUGAACUAAAC